rnacentral:rRNA from 1 species
UACGGGGGGAGCAAGCGUUGUUCGGAUUUACUGGGCGUAAAGGGCGGGUAGGCGGCCACCGCAAGUCAGUUGUGAAAUCUCUGGGCUUAACCCAGAAAGGUCAACUGAUACUGCGGGGCUAGAGUGCAGGAGGGGCAACUGGAAUUCUCGGUGUAGCGGUGAAAUGCGUAGAUAUCGAGAGGAACACCUGCGGCGAAGGCGGGUUGCUGGGCUGACACUGACGCUGAACUGCGAAAGCUAGGGGAGCGAACGGG